rnacentral:rRNA from 1 species
GACGAACGCUGGCGGCGUGCUUAACACAUGCAAGUCGAACGGAAAGGCCCUGCUUUUGUGGGGUGCUCGAGUGGCGAACGGGUGAGUAACACGUGAGUAACCUGCCCUUGACUUUGGGAUAACUUCAGGAAACUGGGGCUAAUACCGGAUAGGAGCUCCUGCUGCAUGGUGGGGGUUGGAAAGUUUCGGCGGUUGGGGAUGGACUCGCGGCUUAUCAGCUUGUUGGUGGGGUAGUGGCUUACCAAGGCUUUGACGGGUAGCCGGCCUGAGAGGGUGACCGGCCACAUUGGGACUGAGAUACGGCCCAGACUCCUACGGGAGGCAGCAGUGGGGAAUAUUGCACAAUGGGCGGAAGCCUGAUGCAGCAACGCCGCGUGCGGGAUGACGGCCUUCGGGUUGUAAACCGCUUUCGCCUGUGACGAAGCGUGAGUGACGGUAAUGGGUAAAGAAGCACCGGCUAACUACGUGCCAGCAGCCGCGGUGAUACGUAGGGUGCGAGCGUUGUCCGGAUUUAUUGGGCGUAAAGGGCUCGUAGGUGGUUGAUCGCGUCGGAGGUGUAAUCUUGGGGCUUAACCCUGAGCGUGCUUUCGAUACGGGUUGACUUGAGGAAGGUAGGGGAGAAUGGAAUUCCUGGUGGAGCGGUGGAAUGCGCAGAUAUCAGGAGGAACACCAGUGGCGAAGGCGGUUCUCUGGGCCUUUCCUGACGCUGAGGAGCGAAAGCGUGGGGAGCGAACAGGCUUAGAUACCCUGGUAGUCCACGCUGUAAACGGUGGGUACUAGGUGUGGGGUCCAUUCCACGGGUUCCGUGCCGUAGCUAACGCUUUAAGUACCCCGCCUGGGGAGUACGGCCGCAAGGCUAAAACUCAAAGGAAUUGACGGGGCCCCGCACAAGCGGCGGAGCAUGCGGAUUAAUUCGAUGCAACGCGUAGAACCUUACCUGGGUUUGACAUGGAUCGGGAGUGCUCAGAGAUGGGUGUGCCUCUUAUGGGGUCGGUUCACAGGUGGUGCAUGGCUGUCGUCAGCUCGUGUCGUGAGAUGUUGGGUUAAGUCCCGCAACGAGCGCAACCCUUGUUCACUGUUGCCAGCACGUUAUGGUGGGGACUCAGUGGAGACCGCCGGGGUCAACUCGGAGGAAGGUGGGGAUGACGUCAAGUCAUCAUGCCCCUUAUGUCCAGGGCUUCACGCAUGCUACAAUGGCUGGUACAGAGAGUGGCGAGCCUGUGAGGGUGAGCGAAUCUCGGAAAGCCGGUCUCAGUUCGGAUUGGGGUCUGCAACUCGACCUCAUGAAGUCGGAGUCGCUAGUAAUCGCAGAUCAGCAACGCUGCGGUGAAUACGUUCCCGGG